AAGUUGCUGAGGAGUCCCAUAAUAGGACGAAACGGCCGUCCAGUGC
rnacentral:hammerhead_ribozyme from 1 species